rnacentral:rRNA from 1 species
UACAGAGGUCCCAAGCGUUGUUCGGAUUCAUUGGGCGUAAAGGGUUUGUAGGUGGCCUGCUAAGUCAGACGUGAAAUCCCUCAGCUUAACUGGGGAACUGCGUCUGAUACUGGCGGGCUUGAGGACAGGAGAGGAACGCGGAAUUCCAGGUGUAGCGGUGAAAUGCGUAGAUAUCUGGAGGAACACCGGUGGCGAAGGCGGCGUUCUGGACUGUUUCUGACACUGAAAAACGAAAGCCAGGGGAGCAAACGGG